CGGCCACCACUCGGACCCAGCGCUCCCUCAGGAGCAGCUCCACCAGCCCCGCUUUGGUGGCCCGCGUCCACACCGCCAUGGCCGGCCCCGCUCCCGCCGCCGCAGUCGCCGCAGCUACCCUCAUUCCAGUCAGGCAACCUCGGCGCUUCCCCCUUCCCGCCCGAGGGGGCGGGCCCGCCGCCCCCCUUCACCGCGGUGAUUCAUUAUUCAUGAGGGGCCACGCCCACCUUCCGGAGGGGCGGGGAGAGACCGGCCGAGCUGCUUCCGGGAGGUUAAGGAGUUGACCGCAGUCCAGUGGGUUACAGUUUACCGGACGUGGGCAGCUCUAGCGAAGUGGGGCUUGGUCUCACCUUCUCCCUCUUACGCCUCCGAUCUCCCCACCCCCAACUCCUGACCUCUACCGUGCAAUUCACCAGAGCUGCCUGGGCACGGAAAGCAAAAUCAGCUUCGAGAGGCACUUUGCAAUCCUGCAAGACCGAGUUGCACGUUCACUUGCAUUGACUGGUUCGUUAAGUAUUUACAGAAUGCUCCGCAGUGUGCUCCCUUUGAGGCCUGGAGAGGAGCUGGAUAAAACGUGCCACAGAUUGGCCAAACUCAUCCAGUGUCUCCCAAUGAUGCCUUGCACAUUCCUGCCAGAGUCCAUCCUUCCAAACACUUCCUGCCCCUUUCAACCACUUUCCCACCGAGCAAGAUCUCAUCCCAGUUUUCCCUGGCUGCCCAAUUUGCUGGGGUUUUUCCUUUGAACAAUUUUAUUCUAUGCCUCGCUUGUUCGUCCAAGUAGAUUAUAAAAUACAGGAGGGCAGGAACCACCCAUUGACUUCUUUUUGUUCCCCACUCUUCCAAAAAUACCGCCUUGCAGAGAAGGAACUCAUUAAACAUGUGAUUGAUUGAAA